GGCAGUGUGGCACAAUGGUUUGAGCAUUAUGACUAUGGCUUUAGAGAUCAUGGUUCGAUUCUCCGCUCGGUCA